GAUGAACGCUAGCGAUAGGCUUAACACAUGCAAGUCGAGGGGCAGCAUGGUCUUAGCUUGCUAAGACUGAUGGCGACCGGCGCACGGGUGCGUAACGCGUAUGCAACUUGCCUCACAGAGGGGGAUAACCCGUCGAAAGACGGACUAAUACCGCGUACACUUGGGAUAGGGCAUCCUGACCCAAGGAAAUGAAAUUCGCUGUGAGAUAGGCAUGCGUCCCAUUAGCUAGUUGGUGAGGUAACGGCUCACCAAGGCGACGAUGGGUAGGGGAACUGAGAGGUUGAACCCCCACACUGGUACUGAGACACGGACCAGACUCCUACGGGAGGCAGCAGUGAGGAAUAUUGGUCAAUGGGCGAGAGCCUGAACCAGCCAAGUCGCGUGAAGGAUGACUGCCUUAUGGAUUGUAAACUUCUUUUAUACGGGAAUAACAAGAGUCACGUGUGGCUCCCUGCAUGUACCGUAUGAAUAAGCAUCGGCUAACUCCGUG
rnacentral:rRNA from 1 species